rnacentral:rRNA from 1 species
CUGGCUCAGGAUGAACGCUGGCGGCGUGCUUAACACAUGCAAGUCGAACGGAGUUUUAACGGAAGUUUCGGAUGGAAGUUUAAAACUUAGUGGCGGACGGGUGAGUAACGCGUGGGUAACCUGCCUCAUACAGGGGGAUAACAGUUAGAAAUGACUGCUAACACCGCAUAAUAUAGCGAAACCGCAUGAUUUUGCUAUCAAAUAUUUAUAGGUAUGAGAUGGGCCCGCGUCUGAUUAGCUAGUUGGUGGGGUAAAAGCCUACCAAGGCGACGAUCAGUAGCCGGCUUGAGAGAGUGACCGGCCACAUUGGGACUGAGACACGGCCCAAACUCCUACGGGAGGCAGCAGUGGGGAAUAUUGGACAAUGGGGGAAACCCUGAUCCAGCGAACCGCCGCGUGAGUGAAGAAGUAUUUCGGUAUGUAAAGCUCUAUCAGCAGGGAAGAUAAUGACAGUACCUGACUAAGAAGCCCCGGCUAACUACGUGCCAGCCGCAGC